rnacentral:rRNA from 1 species
AAUAUUGGACAAUGGGGGCAACCCUGAUCCAGCAAUGCCGCGUGUGUGAAGAAGGUCUUCGGAUUGUAAAGCACUUUAAGUUGGGAGGAAGGGCUUUAGGCUAAUACCCUGAAGAUUUCACGUUACCACCAGAAUAAGCACAGACAAACUCUGACCCAGCAGCCGCGGUAAUACAGAGGGUGCAAGCCUUACUCGGAAUUACUUGGCGUAAAGCGCGCGUAGGUGGUUCAGUAAGAUGGGUGUGAAAUCCCCGGGCUUAACCUGGGAACUGCUUUCAUAACUGCUGGUCUAGAGUACGGUAGAGGGUAGUGGAAUUUCCUGUGUAGCGGUGAAAUGCGUAGAUAUAGGAAGGAACACCAGUGGCGAAGGCGACUACCUGGACUGAUACUGACACUGAGGUGCGAAAGCGUGGGGAGCAAACA